UACAGAGGGUGCAAGCGUUAUUCGGAAUUACUGGGCGUAAAGCGCAUGUAGGUGGGUUAAUAAGUCAGUUGUGAAAUCCCGGGGCUUAACCUCGGAAUGGCAAUUGAAACUAUGGAUCUUGAGUUUGGAAGAGGGUAGUGGAAUUCCUGGUGUAGAGGUGAAAUUCGUAGAUAUCAGGAGGAACACCUGAGGCGAAGGCGGCUACCUGGUCCGAGACUGACACUGAGAUGCGAGAGCGUGGGGAG
rnacentral:rRNA from 1 species